rnacentral:snoRNA from 1 species
GUUUUCGAUGAUGAUCUCUUAUUUUAUCUCACGACGGUCGACUGCGCCAUAAGAUGCUUGGCGAUGAUGAAAUAGCCGGUGACUCGGCUUGAGACUGAAA